rnacentral:rRNA from 1 species
AACGAACGCUGGCGGCAUGCCUAACACAUGCAAGUCGAACGAGACCUUCGGGUCUAGUGGCGCACGGGUGCGUAACGCGUGGGAAUCUGCCCUUGGGUUCGGAAUAACAGUUAGAAAUGACUGCUAAUACCGGAUAAUGUCUUCGGACCAAAGAUUUAUCGCCCAGGGAUGAGCCCGCGUAGGAUUAGCUAGUUGGUGAGGUAAAGGCUCACCAAGGCGACGAUCCUUAGCUGGUCUGAGAGGAUGAUCAGCCACACUGGGACUGAGACACGGCCCAGACUCCUACGGGAGGCAGCAGUGGGGAAUAUUGGACAAUGGGCGAAAGCCUGAUCCAGCAAUGCCGCGUGAGUGAUGAAGGCCUUAGGGUUGUAAAGCUCUUUUACCCGGGAUGAUAAUGACAGUACCGGGAGAAUAAGCCCCGGCUAACUACCGUGCCAGCAG